GUGCGAGACCGAUAGCGAACAAGUACCGUGAGGGAAAGAUGAAAAGAACUUUGAAAAGAGAGUUAAUGAGUACCUGAAACUGCUGAAAGGGAAGCGAAUCGUAUCCAGUGUCUAUAAUCUGCGGCAUAUUUCAUUGGCGGCAGUGUGCGUGCUUUUGCGUCGGAAGCGGCUUUUGUUACUCUGUGCUUUUGCUGUGCGUGCUGUUGCUGGUGCCCUGUGUUGCGGUGGGACGUCAGAGUCAGUUCGUAUGCUGCGGGAAAUGGCCGCCGAGGAGGUAGGUCAGGACUUCGGUCUUGGCUGUUAUAUCUUGGUGGUUUGUUGUCGUGGUUGGGACUGAGGUGCCUACAAUGUGCUUUUGAGUGUGCCGGGUUCUCAUUUGGUGGACUGUUUGGAUAGCUUGCUAUGCUUGUGGUUUUUUCAUCGAGUGAUUGAGUCUGGUGGUAACUUGUUGCUGUUCGGGACUUUGAA
rnacentral:rRNA from 2 species